GGACAGACAAAGCUGAAGAUCAAGAAUGACUUACUUUACACAGUUCAGAAAUGUUGGCCUUGCUCAGGAAUUGCCCCGACAGAGAGUGGUAAGAAAAAUCUUCCCAGUGGGCAAAGCAUCAGCCAAUUCAUCUGAAGAUUCAGAUUCACAUGUGUAGAGCAGUGGUCCAAAUAAGGGUACACAUGGUCUUUUACACAGUGGUGAAUGGUUAAACUGUCGGUACAGAAGUCUGGAAGGACUAAAAUUGGAAAAUUGGGGUUAACCAAGUCCAUGUCAAACGCUGGGCCCAACACAAGCGGCUCCCAGUUCUUCAUCUGCACUGCCAAGACUGAAUGGUUGGAUGGCAAGCAUGUGGUCUUUGGCAGAGUGAAAGAGGGCAUGAGCAUUGUGGAAGCCAUGGAGCACUUUGGGUCCGAGAAUGGCAAGACCAGCAAGAAGAUCACCAUUGCCAACUGUGGACAACUCUAAUGCGUCUGAGUUUUAUCUCACCCACCUGACCAUUCCUCUAGCUCAGGAGAGCGCCCUCUGCCCCAUCUGCUAGUGAUGCCCUGAACUGUGCUCUCCCUGCGGGUCUUUGGUUCCGUGUUUUCCUUACUUCCCCUCCAAGUCUAGCGGAAUUGCAGAGUUAAAAGUUAUGAUUAUGAAAUAAAAACAUAAACAAACAAACAAAAAAAG